ACUUGUACCUGGAGAGGUGAUAGUCACUGCAGCAUCAAGCUAGAAUAGUGGUGCUGCCCAGAGAGCACAUUCAUUGUGGCAGUUAUGUGUAGAUGUGUUAACUCGGUGACCAGCGGCUGGAUGAUGUUCAAGAAAAGUUAAGGCAAUGGUCAGGUUUCCUUGUUUUCUUUCUUUUCAUUAAUCAGUACCCAGCAAUAACAGCAACAGCGAAGGGUGAAAUGUCUCUUGUGGUCAGACCUGCAACACAAUACUGCUGCUGUCCUCAUCCCCAAUACACCUCCAAAAUAUAAAUACAAUAAAUAGAAAUAAACACCAUGAUUUGAAAUCCCCCACUUCCUAUCCUGUCACUUGGUCUCUCCCGGAACCUUUAUGAAGUUGUUGUGCCCCCGGGGAAUCCUUUGGCCGAGCUCCGCGGAGCAGACACCGGACUGGACAAGCGGAGACGAGUGCGCACUCCUGCACCUGCCCGACGGCACGCAAUCAACCGCGGUCACGAGGUUCCCGAAAAGCUCACACAUUCAAUAAAGUUAAAUAUCUGUAAAGAUGUGCAAA